GGUCGCUGUGCUCGCGGUGUUUGUGCGGGCCGGAGCUCCGGCGGCGUGGGAAACUGCUCCGCGGCCCCACAGGACCGCCAUGGGCUCUGAGGCGGCUCGAGAAGGGCCAGGCUUCGGAGCCUGCCACCUGACGAAGGCGGGACGUGGGGGGACGUGUCCAGAAACGUAGGUCUGCGACCAGAGCUGCCCCCGCGGCACACAGGCUGGCUCAGGAGGCGCCCGGCGGAGGGGAAGGCAGUAGUCGCUUCUCCUCGGCCUUCGGGAGGGAACGGAGUGGAUGACUGUGCAGAGUCCUCGGGCCCGGGAGCAGAUGGCACUGGCCUGGCGGCUCCCCACCAGUGAGAUGCACCCGGAGCAGCCUGGCCUUGCGGACGACAAGACUCCUGGAGGAACGGCGGCCGUCACGCGUCUGUGAUGCCAAAAGCCACAGGACAAAGACAGGCUGUAUUCACAUCUUGCCUGUCCUGAACAUUGUUGCAGUGAACACGGGAGUGCUAAGAUCUCUUCCAGAUCCUGAUUUCAUUUCUUUUGGAUAAAGACCCAGAAGUGGGAUGGCUGGAGCGCGGCGAUGCCUUCCCAUCGGUGCUUGAGGAUGAAGAACCUGGACAGAGACGUGACCCUCGCCUGUCAUGUUCUGGCCACUACCCUCAUGUGGUGGUCUUCCCUUGUCUCCUCCUGGGUGGAACUAGAACUGCCUGGAGACCCCAGUGUCCUCGUCAGUCUGCCCUUCGAGGACUGCAGUAGUCAAAUGUGCUGGCUGCCCAAACACAAGCCACGUACUUUUGUGCUCCUCUCAUUAUUAAUGUACUACAUGCAAAUUUUGGAAAUGUCUCAGGGACCUGAUCCACCAAAAGUCACCUAUAAGUUUCCUUACUUCAUGAAUGUGUCCAGCUCUGCCCUGUUUCUACUGUCUGGUGAGUGAUCGUUGGAUUCUGAUGGAGGAAGGAAAGAAAAAAGAUGACAAAACCCACCUUUGGUAGGGAUGAGUCUUGCCUCUCCGUGGAAAUUGAGUCUCUCUUAAACCAACUUACUUCUGACUGUGAAGACACAGAUGAACUUCUUGGGAGGAGCUCCCUUCUGCCCAGGAAGGCCAGGAGCAAACAUGAAGCUCAAGGCUCAGACUUGAAAUUCAAGGCAGCUCAUGAAAAUGAUCCACUGAGCUGCCCCUAGGAUCAGAGAACUUUCAAAUGUGUAAUCCCAGUGUUUGAUCUCAAAACAUAGAUGCAAUUUAACUAUCAGGACAAAUUUUAUCUAAUUUUUAAUCUGAUUUUGGACUGCUAUAAAAGAAAUGUGGGAGUUUCUUCUAAGGGGCAAGGGGACUAACCUAUAUAGUGACAAAGACACUUCUUAAUUCACCAGGCACGUAAUCCUUACAACUGCCUUUCAUGCGGUAAGGAUUAUUACCUCCAUUUAACAAAGAAAGAUAUCAAGGCUCAGAGAGUUAGAACAUUGGUUGUUGAGUUCCAAAGUUCAUGGUCUUUCAAAUCAUCCCAGCCUAUACAUUUUAGACAGAACAAGAUUUAGUAGUCUGGCUUUUCAGUCGUUGGGGAGAAUAUGGAUAUUCAAUAAUAUGGUGUUUGCAUGCAGAAGAAUGAAACUGGACCACUUUCUAACACCAUACACAAAAAUAAACUCAAAAAAGAUAAAAGACCUAAAUGUGAGACAGGAAUCCAUCAAAAUGCUAGAGGAGAACACAGGCA